rnacentral:rRNA from 1 species
UACGUAGGGUGCAAGCGUUGUCCGGAAUUAUUGGGCGUAAAGAGCUCGUAGGCGGUCUGUCGCGGUCUGCUGUGAAAACCUGGGGACUUAACCCCGGGCCUGCAGUGGGUACGGGCAGACUAGAGUGUGGUAGGGGAGACUGGAAUUCCUGGUGUAGCGGUGAAAUGCGCAGAUAUCAGGAGGAACACCGGUGGCGAAGGCGGGUCUCUGGGCCAUAACUGACGCUGGAGGAGCGAAAGCAUGGGGAGCGAACAGG